rnacentral:rRNA from 1 species
UACGGGGGGUGCAAACGUUGCUCGGAAUUAUUGGGCGUAAAGCGCACGUAGGCGGUCCUGUACGUCGGGUGUGAAAGCCCCAGGCUUAACCUGGGAAGUGCACUCGAAACUGUAGGGCUUGAGUAUGGAAGAGGGUCUCGGAAUUCCCGGUGUAGAGGUGAAAUUCGUAGAUAUCGGGAGGAACACCAGUGGCGAAGGCGGAGACCUGGGCCAAUACUGACGCUGAGGUGCGAAAGCGUGGGGAGCAAACAGG